GUAAUGUUGGUAUAGUGGUUAGCGAGUGAGGCUACCAUUCUUUUAGUCGUAGGUUCGAGCCCCACAAACGACA
rnacentral:tRNA from 1 species